rnacentral:rRNA from 1 species
AGUGAACGCUGGCGGCAGGCCUAACACAUGCAAGUCGAACGGCAGCACAAGAGAGCUUGCUCUCUGGGUGGCGAGUGGCGGACGGGUGAGGAAUGCAUCGGAAUCUGCCCAUUUGUGGGGGAUAACCUCGGGAAACCGGGACUAAUACCGCAUACGACCUACGGGUGAAAGCAGGGGAUCUUCGGACCUUGCGCAGAUGGAUGAGCCGAUGCCGGAUUAGCUAGUUGGAGGGGUAAAGGCCCACCAAGGCGACGAUCCGUAGCUGGUCUGAGAGGAUGACCAGCCACACUGGGACUGAGACACGGCCCAGACUCCUACGGGAGGCAGCAGUGGGGAAUAUUGGACAAUGGGCGCAAGCCUGAUCCAGCCAUGCCGCGUGUGUGAAGAAGGCCUUCGGGUUGUAAAGCACUUUUGUUGGGAAAGAAAAGCAGCCGGUUAAUACCCGGUUGUCAUGACGGUACCCAAAGAAUAAGCACCGGCUAACUUCGUG